GAAAUGCGAUAAGUAGUGUGAAUUGCAGAAUUCAGUGAAUCAUCGAAUCUUUGAACGCACAUUGCGCCCCUUGGUAUUCCAUGGGGCAUGCCUGUUCGAGCGUCAUUUGUACCCUCAAGCUCUGCUUGGUGCUGGGUGUUUGUCCCCGUCUCCGCGCGUGGACUCGCCCCAAAGUGAUUGGCAGCCGGCGUACUGGUCCCGGAGCGCAGCACAUGUCGCGCAAACGAGUGCCUUGGUACGGCGGCGUCCAUAAGCCCCUCUCUCACGCUCUUGACCUCGGAUCAGGUAGGGAUACCCGCUGAACUUAAGC
rnacentral:misc_RNA from 1 species